CUCAGGUAAAACAACUCUGCUAAACAUUUUAGCUGGAAGGCUGUCUCCAGGGAGUGGAGAAAUUCUACUCAAUGGAACAAAGUUGAACAAGAAAGUGAAGAAAAAAAUUUGCUAUGUUUUGCAAGAGGACAUAUUCUUUGCUCAUCUUACUCUUCAGGAAACACUGACGUUUUCAGCAAUGCUUCGUUUGCCAGACACCUUAUCAAAAGAUCAAAAGCUGCAAAAGGUGGA